CAGCCAUGCCGCGUGUAUGAAGAAGGCCUUCGGGUUGUAAAGUACUUUCAGUGGUGAGGAAGGGAGUGUGGUUAAUAGCCAUAUUCUUUGACGUUAGCCACAGAAGAAGCACCGGCUAACUCCGUGCCAGCAGCCGCGGUAAUACGGAGGGUGCGAGCGUUAAUCGGAAUUACUGGGCGUAAAGCGCAUGCAGGUGGUUUGUUAAGUCAGAUGUGAAAGCCCGGGGCUCAACCUCGGAGUUGCAUUUGAAACUGGCAGGCUAGAGUACUGUAGAGGGGGGUAGAAUUUCAGGUGUAGCGGUGAAAUGCGUAGAGAUCUGAAGGAAUACCGGUGGCGAAGGCGGCCCCCUGGACAGAUACUGACACUCAGAUGCGAAAGCGUGGGGAGCAAACAGGAUUAGAUACCCUGGUAGUCCACGCCGUAAACGAUGUCUACUUGGAGGUUGCGGUCUUGAACUGUGGCUUUCGGAGCUAACGCGUUAAGUAGACCGCC
rnacentral:rRNA from 1 species